rnacentral:lncRNA from 1 species
UAAUAUUAACUGUUCUGGAAAAUGUUAAGGUUAAUUAAUUAAUGUAGCUACAAAUCAAAUUUAAUUGCUUAGUUAUAGCUCAAUAAUGAUAUCAUUUCAGAAGAUAAUUGAAAAAAAAUGAGCAUUUACUGUGGUAUAUUUAAAAGAGAGAGUUGAGAAAACUAUGUAAGUUGGAAAAUUUACAUAACAUAUUGCUUAGCAAAUCAGUUUACUACAGGCUUCCUAGUCAUAGAAAAAUGUAUUAAACAAUGUGUCAGCCCAAUAUUAAUUUUAACAACUGUUACAUUUUCAGGUAUGAUUGUAACUUCAUUAACUCUAAGAGAUGUAAUAUGCAAGGCAUCUAUCUCAACAAAUACAGCUUUCUUACAUUGAAUAUUUAUAUACUGUUUUUGAAAAAAAGGAUUAAAAAAUAAAUAAAAUUUUAGUGUAAGUCCUAUCAAAUUAUUAUUAUAUUAUUAUCAUUAUUAUUAUUACAUUCCAUAGGAAACAAAUACUGGUUUUGGCAGUUUAUAUACCGGUGUUCAUGUCUUGUGGUAUAGUAUUCUAUGGAAUAAAUACUUAGCUAUGUGAUAUGGCAUGUAGCUUUAUAAUAUGGUACAAUAAGACUACCAGAUACAUAAAAAAAUAAAGUAAAACUUGAAGUGAUUAGAACAGAAGAACAAUUGUGCAUUGGGAAAAAUCAGGAAUAAUGAAAAAUAUUACAGAAAUUAUCAUUAGACAAGAAAAGCUAUUAGUACGUAGUGCCUUGAAUCUAGAAUAUUCAGGAUUUAUUUUAAAUUAGAAGAAUUUCAUUUAGACUAUUACACUUAGACUUUUAAAUUAAAGGCAUAUGAUAUUUUAUACUGGCAUAGAACUUUCCUAGGUAAUGUGCUAAUGUAAAAAAUUUGGUUGCAAUAAUGUUAGCAUUUCAAUGGAUUUCUGCUUUAGUGGAUUAUCUUUUCAGACCAGAAUAUUUAUCUCUUUUUGAGCCAAACCACAUGUAGUAUCAUCUGAAAACCUAAAUUAUAACUGCAAGAUGUUUUUGUAAAUGCAUAUGUUUUCUGAAUGCAUAACUAUUAUAAAAAUAAGACAGGGUAGGAGCCAAAAACAUUUAUGAGUUAUAAUUUAGUAUUGCCUGGAGUCCAAGUUGAUUAUGUACAGAAAGGUUCUUUACCAUGUCAACCAGAUUUCCAUUUUGCUGUUGUAAUCUCAUUUUCCUAGUGCUA